rnacentral:tRNA from 2 species
UGCCGAAUGGUGUAACGGUAGCACAGCAGUCUCUGGAACUGUUUGUCAAGGUUCGAAUCCUUGUUCGGCAGCCA